GCCAGCUCCAGGUCACUGAUGCCCUCGGGGAGCUGCUCCCACUGCAGGUCCUGACUCUGCUGCUCCUGCUGCAGCGACAACGCCAUCAGAAUUUGGCAGUACGUCCAACCGGCCUCACAACUGCAGACCACGUGUAACCACGCCUGCCCAGGACCUCCACGUCCGGCUUCUUCACCUCAGACCACGUGUACCACGCCAGCCCAGGACCUCCACAUCCGGCUUCUCACCUGCGGGAUCGUCUUAGACCAGCCACCUGGACAAUUGAUGAAACUGAGGAGUAUUUCUGUCUGUAAUAAAGCCCUUUUGUGGGGAAAAACUAAUUCUGAUUGGCUGGGCCUGGCUCCCAUGUGGGCCUGCCCUCCCAGGCCCACCCAUGGCUGCGCCACUGCUUAGUCAUGUGAAAUCCAUAGAUUGGGGCCGAAUGAACUUAUUUCAAUUGACUGAUUCCCUUAUAUGAACUGUACCUCAGUAAAAUGGUUGAAAUUGCUGCA